UAGGGAAUCUUCCGCAAUGGGCGAAAGCCUGACGGAGCAACGCCGCGUGAGUGAUGAAGGUCUUCGGAUCGUAAAACUCUGUUAUUAGGGAAGAACAAAUGUGUAAGUAAGUAUGCACGUCUUGACGGUACCUAAUCAGAAAGCCACGGCUAACUACGUGCCAGCAGCCGCGGUAAUACGUAGGUGGCAAGCGUUAUCCGGAAUUAUUGGGCGUAAAGCGCGCGUAGGCGGUUUUUUAAGUCUGAUGUGAAAGCCCACGGCUCAACCGUGGAGGGUCGUUGGAAACUGGAAAACUUGAGUGCAGAAGAGGAAAGUGGAAUUCCAUGUGUAGCGGUGACAUGCGCAGAGAUAUGGGGGAACACCAGUGGCGAAGGCGACUUUCUGGUCUGUAACUGACGCUGAUGUGCGAAAGCGUGGGGAUCAAACAGG
rnacentral:rRNA from 1 species